ensembl:lncRNA
UAUAUAUAUAUAUAUAUAUUAUACAUAUAUAAUACAUAUAUAUUCGUGUAUACUGAAUUGCCUGUAACUGUAUCUCAAUGUUGGGGGCUUAGAGUCUCCCCACUGCAUCAUUUUGGAAACUAUAGAACAGGGGUCUUCAACGUUUUUCAGGCCAAGGAUCCCCAAACCGAUGGCGAGAUCAAAUAGGGAACCCUGUUCUACGGAGUUUGGUCCACCAUCUUUUAUUUUUGAGCUUUGCGCUCUUUAGACGUGAGCACAAACACGAUCUGAUUAUCUAGGGCCCGUGCGGUCGUAUUUGCAUGAAAGGAGCUGCGAAUGAACCGGUGCCAGGCCUGAGAGAGCUCCUGUAGCUGAAUGUGUGUAUUGCGGACUCUCAGUUUGCCACAAUAUCUUGGAUUCAUGUUAAUGUGUAUCUAAAAACAAUAAAUACAAUUCUGAUUCUGAAGACAUUUAAAUUUGUGGAGAAAAAAAUUGUAUUGUCUUCUUCAAAUAUUUCGCGACCCCCCCUGCAGUACCUCUGCGGAACCCCCGUUGAAGACCUCUGCUAUAGAAGAAUGGAAAGAAUGGACAGGGGGCUGAGAAAUUAAAUCAUGCCCACUUCCUUGCUAUAAAAGCUUUGGCGCAGUGUUGACCAUCACCACAGCUACAGACGCUCGGAAAAUAUUGAUAUAGUGUGCGGUGCUGAAUUUUAUGACCCUUCUAUUGAUUUCAGAAUGUAUGUACAUUCCUCUGGAAUUGGUGAGGCUGGACAAGGAGAAGCCUAUCACCUCUGUCUCUGCAGAGGCCAUCUUCUCUCCUCCCGGCCGUAGUCUCACAGCAGAGGCCAUCUCCUUUCCAUUCGGCUGUGGCCAUCUUCUCUCCUCCACCCUGUUGUCUCCUAUCAGCGGCCAUUUGCUGUGCUUCAUCUGUAGUCUACUUUUAGUGGCCAUCUUCUCUCCUCCUGGCUGUAGUCUCCUAGCAGCGGUCAUCUUCUUUCCUCCUGUCUGUAUUAUCCUAACAGCAGCAAUCUUUUCUACUCCCGUCUGUAGUAUCCUAGCAGCGGCCAUCUUCUCUCUUCCCAGCUUUUUUCGCUUAGCAGCGGCCAGGGACUUAGGGACAUAAGCUACUUACUUAUUUGAUUGAUUGACUUUAGCACUUCAAUACAUUAUAUCCCACAAAAAUGGGGUUACUAUAUAAACUACCCAUCGCAAGAAUCCCGGGUGGGCAGUGGUACAGCCUCUCUGGCCUGUGACCUUUUAUGAAUAGGGGAAGAUAUUAACCGACACUGCUGUCUGAAAAGGAAGCUUGGUUAGCACCAAGUAGAGCACUCAAGUAAGCUGAUACCUCGGUGUCUCCUCACUGCUUGAGUAAACACUGCAAAGGUCCCAGUGCAAAACUGCAACAGUGACUAAGAGGUCAUUCUUGACUAAAGGCUGAACCUCCCUCCCCUUUGUAGCCCUCCUCUCCCCUGUACUAUGUCACAAGGCCAAAUCGAUAUAUCUAACCCGCCUUUCUUUUGUGAAUGAACUUUCACCCCCAGCCUAACAAAGCAAAAAAGAUUUCUAAAAAAAGUGUUUUUAGUUUCAGUGCCUGCAAACAAAGCUGUCCUCCAAGUGCAACACCCACUUGAGGGUUUGUGUGUGGGGAUGUGUGCCCAGGUUCAGAUAGUGAGAUGGAUGGCCUCUUGGAGCAGGACUUCCCAUCAUAAAAGAGCCAAGGUGGAGAGAAAGGGACGUGAUUGUUUCUAGUUGGAACUGUGAGAACUGAGCUUUCAGCUCUCUCCCCGACACGUUGGCCCCUGAUUGGCAGCUUUAAUGACAGAAAGCAGUGCACAUGAAUUAGAGAUUUUUGACCAGGAAAACAAUACUGAAAAGUUAAUUUUAUUUCUCAAUGUACACUUUCUGUCAAGAUGCACCACAUCUUGACAGAAAUGCAGAACCUUUUGCAAAUGUAUUAAAAAAGAAAACCUGAAAUCUCACAUGGUAUUCAGACCAUUUGCUCAGUAAGAGUAGAAGAACCCUUUUGAGCUAGUCCAGCCAUGAGUCUUCUUGGGAAUGAUGAAACUAAGGAAACUGAAAGUUUUUCACAGCUGGAUUUGAAUUGAAUCCUCUACCAUUCUUCCUUGCAGAUCCUCUCCAGUUCGCUCGGGUUUGAUGAUGAACGUUGGACAGCCAUUUUCAGGUCUCUUCAGAGAUGAUUGGGUUUAGGUCAGGGCUCUGGUUGGGCCAGUCAAGAAUGGUCCCAGCUGUUGUUCCGAAGCCACUCCCUUGUUAUUUUAGCUGUAUGCUUAGGGUCAUUGUCUUGUUGGAAGGUGAACCGUCGGCCCAAUCUGAGGUCCGGAGCACUCUGGAUGAGGUUUUUUUCCAGGAUAUCUUACAUCUUUCCUUCAAUUGCAACCAGUCGUCCUGUCCGUGCAGCUGAAAAACAACCCCAUAGCAUGAUGCUACCACCAUGUUGGAAAAUAAUGACAUAGUAUGUGGUGCUGAAUUUUAUGACGAUUUUAUUGAUUUCAGAAUUUAUGUACAUUCCUUUGGAAUGGUCGAGGCUGGGGAAGGAGAAGCCUAUCACCUCUGUCUCUGCAGCGGUCAUCUUCUCUCCUCCCGGCUGAAGUCUCUUAGCAGAGGCCAUGUCUGGUAGAGGAGAAAGAGUUUAGAACCACUUUCCAUAAUGAUGUGCCAAAGAGGUUUACUUUUUGUCCGAUCUUGCAGGUGCAUUAUUAUUCCAACUUUUCAUGUCAAUAAAUCCUAAAAAGUGCACAUUGCAAAAUUGCAUUGUUUUUUGUUUUAAUUGUGCUUUUUAACAAAUAAUUUUAAUUACCAAUGUAUUGGCUACUAGGGGACACAUUAAAUUAAAUUCUAAGCCUAUACAGUUUUAAUAGUAUUGUUCUGUUGUUCGUACGGAGAAAAUUACAGUUAAAUGCUUGGCUUUACAAGGCGUUAUUUGAGAUAAUUUUUAAAGAAAAAACUAAAAACUCACAAACAUCAGUUGAUAUGAGACGGUGAGCUGCAGCAGAAGUUGACCUUUGCCAAUAAGAGCUAGGUAGCU